CCGGGGACCGGCCUCCGCCGCGGGCUCUGCCCGCUCGCCUGCUCGCCUGCUCGCCUGGUGGGGGAGAGGGGAGCGGGGCCGACACAGGGUUCCUGACCAAGCUGGUGCUUCUGCGUGUGUUCCUGCAUGACUUGGUGUGUCCCCUUCUCUUGGAUCUACUGCAGUUGACAGCAGAUAACUGAAAGCUCGGAAAGCGAAACCGUGGAUAAGCAGGGGAACUGUGGCAUCCCAUUUAAAAUUGCUUCUGAAGAGAAGCAUGAGGUUACAUCUGUAAUCUCCCUGCAGCAGAGUCAACUGCAUAAGAAACCAAAAGACACACCUGCUCCAUGCCAGCCUAAGCCACCACAUAAAAAGUCAGACCAUCUGCUGGAAGAACCACAUGGAGAGGCCCUGAGUCGACAUGGAGAGGAAGAAGGACUUAACUGAAUCCAGCCUUCCAGCUGUCCCUACCAAGGUGCCAGGCACGAGAAUGAAGCUGUCUUGGACUCUGAAGACCAGCUUAGCCACCAGGUAAAUGCCACUAAGUGACCUCACUCAAUGUCAUGUGGGACGGAAGAAUCACCCCGCCAAACCCUUCCUGGAUCCCUGACCCAGAAAUUUGUCAGAUGUAAUGGUUGUGAAAAGCCACUCAAUUUGGGGGCAGUUUGUAUGCAGCAUAGCUAGCUGGUAUGAUACAACAGCCUGCAAUUCAGGCAGCAGCAGCACUAACAACGAUGAAAUCCUGCAGGAGCGAACUCCUUUGGGGU
rnacentral:antisense_RNA from 1 species